rnacentral:rRNA from 1 species
UCAAUAUAAUUUGAUUAAGAUAAUAUUCUUACUUUAAUUUUAUUUAUUAAUUUUUAGAGAAAUAUCUUUAAUUUUAGUAUACUAAAGAAAAAAUUGUUUUGUGAUAGUUUAUUAGUACUGUGAAGGAAUUUGAUGAAAUAAUAUUGAAAAAUUUUCUUUUUAUAAGUAGAUUUAGUUUAUUGUACCUUUUGUAUCAGGGUUAAUUAAAUAUUUUAAUGUAUAUUAUUUUCUCGAUUUUAAAAGAGCUAAUUAAUUAAUUUAGUUAAUGUGUCAUGAUUAUUAAAAAUAUUAAUUAGGGAAGAAAUUUCAUUCGUUUUUAAAGGUAUCUAGUUUUUUAAGAAAUAAAUUUAAUUUAGAAUUAUAAAUUAUUUAAUUAAUUUUUUAAUUAAAUAUAUUAUAAUAUUAAAAUAAUAGGGGAUAAGCUCUAUUUUUAUUCUAUAAAUUUAGAUUUUAAUCAAUUUAUGUAGGGUUAAGAUCAUCCAUCAUUUAUGAGUACGUUAUAGUAAAUAUUGAUUAAAUUAGAUUUAUUUAAAUUUUAGAAUUUUAUUAAAAUAAUAAAUUUAACAAAAUAUUUUAUGAAAUAAUGAUUAAAUUAGUAUAAUUAUUUGUUUAUAAUAAUUAAAUUGAGAUGAUUAAAUAAGGAACUCGGCAAAUAAACACUCGCCUGUUUAACAAAAACAUGUCUUCUUGCUAUAUUUAGGAAGUCUGGCCUGCCCAGUGAAAAUAAUUUAACGGCCGCGGUAUACUGACCGUGCAAAGGUAGCAUAAUCAUUAGUCUUUUAAUAGAGGGCUGGUAUGAAGGGUUUAACGAGGUGUUGACUGUCUCAUUUAAUUUGAAUUUAGAAUUUAAUUUUUUAGUUAAAAAGCUAAAAUAUUAUUGGAAGACGAGAAGACCCUAUAGAGCUUUAUAUUUUUAUUAUUAAUUUAUUUUAGUUUAUUAUUAUUUAUUAUUAAUAGAAAGUAUUUUGUUGGGGUGACAAAAAUAUAUAAAUAACUUUUUCAUUUAUUUUACAUUGAUAUAUGAAUAUUAGAUCCAAUCUUAUUGAUUGUUAGAUUAAGUUACCUUAGGGAUAACAGCGUAAUCCCUCUCCAGAGUUCAUAUUUACAGAGGGGCUUGCGACCUCGAUGUUGGAUUAAGAUAAUAAUUAGGUGCAGCCGCUUAAUUAAUAGGUCUGUUCGACCUUUAAAUUCUUACAUGAUCUGAGUUCAAACCGGUUUAAGCCAGGUUGGUUUCUAUCUCCAAUAUAUUAUUUAAUUUUUAGUACGAAAGGACCAAAAUUAAGAAAAAUUUUUUAUGUUUUGAUUAAUAUUAACUAUUUUGGCAGAAAAGUGCCAUGGAUUUAGAAUCCAUAAAUGUAAGAAUAAACUUAC